GAUGAACGCUGGCGGCGUGCCUAAUACAUGCAAGUCGAGCGAACAGACGAGGAGCUUGCUCCUCUGACGUUAGCGGCGGACGGGUGAGUAACACGUGGAUAACCUACCUAUAAGACUGGGAUAACUUCGGGAAACCGGAGCUAAUACCGGAUAAUAUAUUGAACCGCAUGGUUCAAUAGUGAAAGACGGUUUUGCUGUCACUUAUAGAUGGAUCCGCGCCGCAUUAGCUAGUUGGUAAGGUAACGGCUUACCAAGGCAACGAUGCGUAGCCGAUCUGAGAGGGUGAUCGGCCACACUGGAACUGAGACACGGUCCAGACUCCUACGGGAGGCAGCAGUAGGGAAUCUUCCGCAAUGGGCGAAAGCCUGACGGAGCAACGCCGCGUGAGUGAUGAAGGUCUUCGGAUCGUAAAACUCUGUUAUUAGGGAAGAACAAAUGUGUAAGUAACUAUGCCCGUCUUGACGGUACCUAAUCAGAAAGCCACGGCUAACUACGUG
rnacentral:rRNA from 1 species